GCGGCAGNAGUUGGUAGAGCGCACCCUUGGUAAGGGUGAGGUCCCCAGUUCGACUCUGGGUAUCAGCACCA
rnacentral:tRNA from 1 species